rfam:Schistosoma margrebowiei strain Zambia genome assembly, scaffold: SMRZ_scaffold0000897
GCACUGCUGAAGAGUCCCAUACUAGAGCGAAAUGACCAUCCAGUGC